AGUAAAAGUCGUAACAAGGUCUCCGUUGGUGAACCAGCGGAGGGAUCAUUACAGAGUUUAUCUUAACUCCCAAACCCCAUGUGAACAUACCUUACGUUGCCUCGGCAGGUCGCGUCGUACCCGGGAAGUCCUACCCUGUAAGACCUACCUGGUGCGCGCGGGUCACCCUGCCGGCGGCCCAUGAAACUCUGUUUUUACUAUUACCAUUCUGAAUACAUAACUAAAUAAGUUAAAACUUUCAACAACGGAUCUCUUGGUUCUGGCAUCGAUGAAGAACGCAGCGAAAUGCGAUAAGUAAUGUGAAUUGCAGAAUUCAGUGAAUCAUCGAAUCUUUGAACGCACAUUGCGCCCAUUAGUAUUCUAUUGGGCAUGCCUGUUCGAGCGUCAUUUCAACCCUUAAGCCCUUGUUGCUUAGCGUUGGGAGCCUACGGCAACGUAGCUCCUCAAAGUUAGUGGCGGAGUCGGCUCGUACUCUAGACGUAGUAGAAUCUUUUUAUCUCGCCUGUAGUAUGUGUCGGUCCCCUGCCGUAAAACCCCCCAAAUUUAUCAAAGGUUGACCUCGGAUCAGGUAGGAAUACCCGCUGAACUUAAGCAUAUCAAUAAGCGGAGGAAAAGAAACCAACAGGGAUUGCCCCAGUAACG
rnacentral:rRNA from 1 species